UACGUAGGGGGGCAAGCGUUGUCCGGAUUUAUUGGGCGUAAAGAGCGUGUAGGCGGUCAGGUAGGUCCGUUGUGAAAACUCGAGGCUCAACCUCGAGACGCCGAUGGAAACCAUCUGACUAGAGUCCGGGAAGAGGAGAGUGGAAUUCCUGGUGUAGCGGUGAAAUGCGCAGAUAUCAGGAAGAACACCCGUGGCUAAGGCGGCUCUCUAGUACGGUACUGACGCUGAGACGCGAAAGCGUGGGGAGCGAACAGG
rnacentral:rRNA from 1 species